CCGAAAGGGAGAUUAAUACCGGAUGGUGUUUGAAGUCCGCAUGAAAUUCAAACUAAAGAUUUUAUCGGUAACGGAUGGGGAUGCGUACCAUUAGAUAGUAGGCGGGGUAACGGCCCACCUAGUCUACGAUGGUUAGGGGUUCUGAGAGGAAAGGUCCCCCCACACUGGAACUGAGACACGGUCCAGACUCCUACGGGAGGCAGCAGUGAGGAAUAUUGGUCAAUGGGCGCGAGCCUGAACCAGCCAAGUAGCGUGAAGGAUGACUGCCCUACGGGUUGUAAACUUCUUUUGUUUGGGAAUAAAUGAUACUACGUGUAGUAUUUUGCAUGUACCUUACGAAUAAGCAUCGGCUAAUUCCGUG
rnacentral:rRNA from 1 species